GGAGGGUCACGGGACCUGAAAGCAUCAAUCAUAUUGUUGUAUGCCUGGAGUUACAGGUAGGGAUAGCAGAUUUUCUUCCUUAAAGGAGUUGCCUGUCACAGUCUUCCACUGCAAUCAGAGUAUAGAAUCAGCAGUAAGCACAGAGUCCACUUCCUCCUCGAGGGCCCUGCUGCCAUUGGCAAUGUCAAACACACUAUUACA